GCAGUGAAAAGCAACUUUAAAACGAGUUCAGGAGAAACUGUACUCCAGUUGGAGAAAAAAUGCAUCAGAGAAUUGUUGUCUUGACCCUACUUGCGUCUUUAGGAUAUGGUAGUAAAGAACGUGUUUGGAAUCCUGAGGGUACAGUGCAGGUUUUCCAAAAACAACUGGCUGAAAUCAAGUGCAACUUUGAAACAACGGAUACUGCUCCUUUUCUCUUCUGGUACAUUCAGCCACUCAAUGGCUUUCCUCGGCAUUUACUAACCAGGACACCUACCUACAAAAUCAAUGCGGAAGGUUUCGAAGAAAGAUUUAAAUCGACACUGAAUCUUGAAGACAAAACAGUUCAUCUGAAAAUUGCGCCUUCCAGGCUCUCCGACUCUGCGAUUUAUUUCUGCGCAUUGCGGCCCACAGUAAGGAUAAUGAAACUGAGAGCAUUACACAAACUCUUGUCGCAGAAAUACUGCUUUAAAAAUAACAAUUUAUACGCGCAUAUGCUGUCUUAUGCUGAAUUUACAUCUUAA